rnacentral:rRNA from 1 species
CAGCCNGCCCGGUGACUCUGUUUAACGGCCGCGGUAUCCUAACCGUGCGAAGGUAGCGUAAUCACUUGUUCUUUAAAUGGGGACUAGUAUGAACGGCACCACGAGGAUUAUACUGUCUCCUUUCCACAAUCAGUGAAACUGAUCUUCCCGUGAAGAAGCGGGAAUAAGUAUAUAAGACGAGAAGACCCUAUGGAGCUUUAAACUAUACUACAUUUAUUUAUUCAUUAAGAAAUUUCAGAAAAUAAAAUUCUUUAAUAUCAUGAUUUUAAGUUUUCGGUUGGGGUGACCGCGGAGUAAAACACAACCUCCGCAUCGAAUAAGAUUGUUUCUUUAGCUAAAAAUAACAUCUUAAAGCAUCAAUAAAUUGACGUUAUUGACCCAAUAUUUUGAUCAACGAACCAAGUUACCCUAGGGAUAACAGCGCAAUCCACUUCAAGAGCUCAUAUCGACAAGUGGGUUUACGACCUCGAUGUUGGAUCAGGGUAUCCCAGUGGUGCAGCCGCUACUAAAGGUUCGUUUGUUCAACGAUGAAAACCCUACGUGAUCUGAGUUCA